GAGUUUGAUCCUGGCUCAGGACGAACGCUGGCGGCGCGCCUAACACAUGCAAGUCGAACGGAGUUAAGAAAGCUUGCUUUCUUAACUUAGUGGCGGACGGGUGAGUAACACGUGAGCAACCUGCCUUACAGAGGGGGAUAACGUUUGGAAACGAACGCUAAUACCGCAUAAUGUAGAGAUAUGGCAUCAUAUUUUUACCAAAGAUUUAUCGCUGUAAGAUGGGCUCGCGCCUGAUUAGCUAGUUGGAGUGGUAAUGGCACACCAAGGCAACGAUCAGUAGCCGGACUGAGAGGUUGAACGGCCACAUUGGGACUGAGACAC
rnacentral:rRNA from 1 species